rnacentral:lncRNA from 1 species
AAUAUUUAAGACCAAAAUAAGAAAAAAGAUGGAGAAAUUAAUUAGUAAAAUAUAGAAAAAAAUGCACUUAUAAAUAAUGCUAAAUCUGAAACUCAUGUAUAAUUAUUGCCUGAAAAAUUUAAUGGAAUGCACAUAGAAGAGGGAUAUGAUACAGUUAACCAUAUCAAUGAUAUAGCAUUAUUGGGUAAGGAAUUAUCUUUUUAGGAAAUACAAUUACUUAUAAAAUACAAGUCUCCGCUAUUUGUUAAUAGUUUACCACCAUCAUGGGAUUCGGUUUGUUACAUUUUUAAAUUGUUCAAGUUAAGUUUUGACUAGGAACACUUAAACGCUAACUGACCACUAGAAUAAAAAAGAAAGAUUCAUCGAAAAUGCGCAAAUUUGAUGAUCAAAGGAUUUUCUAAGCCUUCUAAGCAGUUUGAGAAACAAGAGAAAGGAAAGAUGAAAAAUAAGAAUGUAAGUGGCCACAAAAAAAUAAGAAAAAUGAAUGUUUGAAAUCUAUCCAUUUUAGAACUUUCAAGAAAGAUUACCUAGAAAUCAGAAGGAGAGAAAAACUGAGUAAGGAAUGAAAGGGUCUACUCUUAUUAUCGAAGGAGCUCUGAUAACAGAUCCUUGUUCAAAUCAUUGGUGGAUAGAGAGGUACCCAUUAUAUGGCAAAAUCUAAAGAUGGCUUCCUCACAUGCAAAGAGUUAACACCAAGAGUACAUUGAUAAUUUAUGGGAAAUAAUACAAUAAGGACGUGUUGGGUUAUUAGAGUUAUAAAAUAUGUUAUGACAAAUCUAAUAUUUUAAUAAGUUAUAUAUUUUAUGCACAUAUUAUGUCUUUAUCUAAGUUAGAUUAAAAAAUAUAUGAGGUUAGGUUCAAGUAUGGCAGUGUGGCUAUUGGAAGAAAGCGUCGAGUCUAUGUAAGAGGUGAUAAAAUAGACUGCAUGUAUUGAUAUUGCAAUUGAUAAUGGUAAUAAAAUAAUUAAUUCUUCUUAUGUGCUAUAGUUCAAGUUUAAUAAAAUUCUUUCAUAUGUUUGACAACUUAGACUAUGACGUAUUAGUAAAGAUAAAAUAAAUAGGUUGCAUAAAAAAAAAAGGUAUUAUACAUAAUAUAUAGGAUAUAGAUUUUAAAAUAUAAGGUAUCAUAACUAAUAUACAAGAUAUAUAUUUUAAAAUAUGUCAACCUUGCAAACAUGAAAAGUUGUCUAGAAAAUCAUUUAUUCAACAAUGGCAUUUAUAUGAAUAAUUAGAAAUAAUUCAUACGCAUAUUUGUGAACCUUUAAUGGUGUGUUUACUAAACAAGAAUCGGAAUGUGUUGGGAUUGUAAUAGAUAUGAAUCAGAAUGGGCUGGAAUGAGAAUAGAGAUUGUAAAUUAAAAUAAGUUAUUUACUUGAACUGUAGAAAUCGGAAUUGGAAUAAGCUGGAUUGCCAUUAAUGUGCUUACUUUGUCUUGGAAUCAUAAUUAAAAUGAGUUAGAUUGUACCAAAUUACUAAAGAGUAUUUAAUGAACUAUUGUCAUAAUUAUUAGUUUGUAUUUUAAUUAUGGUGAUUAUUUAUUCAAAAAAAUUUAUUAUUAAUUAUUGUUAAUAAUGUAUUAAUAUAUUAAUUAACUAAUUAUAAUAAUAUAUUAAUUAUGAUAAUUAUAUUAAUAAUUAUUGCUAUAAUAUAUAAAUUAAUUAAUUAUAAUAAUAUAUUAAUUAAUUAUAAUAAUGUUUUUGAACUAAGGACAAAAUGGAUACUUUUGAUUUUGUAAGGGGCCAAAAUGGUCAUUCUUAGGAAUGAGAGACUCAUUCCACCCCCUGGGAUCAAUCUCCCAUUCCCAAAUUGAGGUAGGACCCAUUAUUUUGAUUCCAAUUCUCAACUCUAUUUUGCGAAGUAAACGCUGUUAAUUAUUUGGAUUCCUCAAUUCGAAAAGUAAACGCACCAUAAGAGUAAAAACACAUAAAGGGAUGGAAUGAUUUAUUAUUUUCAUUAAUGACUAUUGUAGACGUGAGUUUGAUCAUAAAUAUGAGGCAUUAGAAAAGUUCAAAGAAUAAAAACUGGUAGUAGAGACUCAAUUGGGAAGAAAAACUAAAUUUUUGAAGAGUGAUCAAAGUGGGAAAUUAUGAAUAGUGAUCAAGGUUGGGUAUGUUUAUCUUAUUUAUACUGUGAUAAUUUUUUUAGGUUUUUUGAUUGAAUUAUUUGCUUGAUCUUUAUUUCAUAGGUUAUACAUUUGAAAAAUGAUAAUAAAGUGUUAUGAUGCUGAAAAUUUUAGAUUUAUUACUUUUAUGUAUGCUCUAUGAAGAACUUUUUUAAUAUUUACACUAAAAGAAUAAAUAUAAAAAUUCUAAAAUUUAACGCUUCUAUAUUUAAUAUUUUUCUAGGUACUAGUAAAUAUUAUUUUUAAAACAUUUAAAUUAAUUAAAAAUAUAUAUUAAAUAUAAUACAAUGGAAAUUAAUAUAGUAAAAUGUACUAUCAAUGUUGUGCAUCAUUAAUAUAAUAUAGUGCUAAUGUCAUAUAGCAUAAUACAAUAUAUCUGCAUUAAAUGUGCAAUACUGUAUAAACCAAUACAAUGUGUUAAACGCACCUUAAGACAUUGAGAGUUCUUAGAAAAUCCUAUGUCACAGUGAUUCUCAGUUAUAGGUUAUAUCCAGUCCAAUGACAAUGAUAUAUUUUCAGACAUGUAGAGUUUUUAAUUUGUUUAUUUUUUAUAACUUAUGUCUGACUAUAAGAUGCUUAUGUCUGAAUGAAAAAAGUUAAAUAUUCUCAUUUUUAUCUAAAUGGCAAAAUAUGUGAAUGAAACUUUAAUAUUCUCUUUCAUUAAUAGCCCUAUUAAAUACAUUUAUUUUGUAUUAUAUAAAUUAUUCUUUAUUAUUUCUUUUAUUUAUGAGCUUCCUGUUUCUUGUUCAUUGCUUGUUCAAUUAUAAUUUUUUGUUUCAAGUGAAUGAGAAUUUUAAAUAUAUCAAGACUUUCGUUGAGUGUGUUUUAUAAUAGGUGUAUCUCUUUUGCAUUUACAAUUACUAUUUUUAUGCUAUAUUUUGCAUAUUAUUUCAUACAUUAAUUUUAAUUCAAAUGAUUAAAUAAUUCAUGGUUGGC